GCUCACCGUGUCGCCGGUCCGACCAUGC
rnacentral:sRNA from 1 species